rnacentral:rRNA from 1 species
UGCAGUCGAGCGACGGACGAGAAGCUUGCUUCUCUGAUGUUAGCGGCGGACGGGUGAGUAACACGUGGAUAACCUACCUAUAAGACUGGGAUAACUUCGGGAAACCGGAGCUAAUACCGGAUAAUAUUUUGAACCGCAUGGUUCAAAAGUGAAAGACGGUCUUGCUGUCACUUAUAGAUGGAUCCGCGCUGCAUUAGCUAGUUGGUAAGGUAACGGCUUACCAAGGCAACGAUGCAUAGCCGACCUGAGAGGGUGAUCGGCCACACUGGAACUGAGACACGGUCCAGACUCCUACGGGAGGCAGCAGUAGGGAAUCUUCCGCAAUGGGCGAAAGCCUGACGGAGCAACGCCGCGUGAGUGAUGAAGGUCUUCGGAUCGUAAAACUCUGUUAUUAGGGAAGAACAUAUGUGUAAGUAACUGUGCACAUCUUGACGGUACCUAAUCAGAAAGCCACGGCUAACUACGUGCCAGCAGCCGCGGUAAUACGUAGGUGGCAAGCGUUAUCCGGAAUUAUUGGGCGUAAAGCGCGCGUAGGCGGUUUUUUAAGUCUGAUGUGAAAGCCCACGGCUCAACCGUGGAGGGUCAUUGGAAACUGGAAAACUUGAGUGCAGAAGAGGAAAGUGGAAUUCCAUGUGUAGCGGUGAAAUGCGCAGAGAUAUGGAGGAACACCAGUGGCGAAGGCGACUUUCUGGUCUGUAACUGACGCUGAUGUGCGAAAGCGUGGGGAUCAAACAGGAUUAGAUACCCUGGUAGUCCACGCCGUAACGAUGAGUGCUAAGUGUUAGGGGUUUCCGCCCCUUAGUGCUGCAGCUAACGCAUUAAGCACUCCGCCUGGGGAGUACGACCGCAAGGUUGAAACUCAAAGGAAUUGACGGGGACCCGCACAAGCGGUGGAGCAUGUGGUUUAAUUCGAAGCAACGCGA